CCUACGGGUGGCAGCAGUGGGGAAUAUUGCACAAUGGGGGAAACCCUGAUGCAGCGACGCCGCGUGAGUGAAGAAGUAUUUCGGUAUGUAAAGCUCUAUCUGCAGGGGAGCAAAUGAAGGUACCUGACUAAGAAGCCCAGGUUAACUACGAGACAGCAACCGCGGUAAUACGUCGGGGGGAAGCGUUAUCCGGAUUUACUGGGUGUUAAGGGUGCGUUGACGGCAGCGCAAGUUUGGAGUGAAAUCUCAUGGCUUAAACAUGGAAGUGCGUUGGAAAAUGUCGAGCUAGAGUGCAGGAGAGGUAAGCGGAAUUCGUAGUGUAGCGGUGAAAUGCGUAGAUAUUAGGAAGAACUCCAGUUGCGAAGGCGGCUUACUGGACUGUAACUGACGUUGAGGCACGAAAGCGUGGGGAGCGAACAGGAUUAGAUACCCCGGUAGUC
rnacentral:rRNA from 1 species